CAGUCCGCGUCGAAGAAGGAAAGGUAAAAAAAAAAAAAAACCCGUUUCUCCCACCAAAGAAACCUCAGAUCUCUACCGCCACCACCCCCCAAAAAAGCGAAAUUUACAUCCCAUAACCCUUCUUCCUUCCCCAAAUCAGCCCCUCUCUCUCUCUCUCUCUCUCUCUCUCUCAAAACAGAGAAACCCCAACAUCUACAGACCUAAGAAGAAGGAGAAGGAGAAUGUCCGAGAUGGGCCCAUCGUCCGACGUGGACGGCAUCGACGCCGUCCGCAUGACCUGGAACGUGUGGCCCCGAUCGAAGGUGGACGCCAGCAAGUGCGUGGUCCCGGUAGCAGCGUCCAUCUCCCCGAUCCGGCACUCCCCAGACGUCCCCAUCCUCCCUUACCUCCCCCUCCACUGCAAGUCCUGCGCGUCUACCUUAAAUCCGUACUCCCGCGUCGACUUCUCCGCCAAGAUCUGGAUCUGCCCUUUCUGCUUCCAGCGCAAUCACUUCCCUCCCCACUACUCCAUGAUCAGCGAGUCGAACGUCCCCGCCGAACUCUACCCCCAGUACACCACCGUUGAGUACUCUGUGGGCCCCACCGACCCCGCUGCCGCUGCAUCGCCGCCGCAGCCGGUGUUCCUCUUCGUCCUUGAUAUCUGCGUCAUUGAGGAAGAGCUCGAAUUCGUCAAGUCCGCGCUUCGGCAGGCCAUCGGGCUGCUCCCGGACAACGCAAUGGUGGGGUUUAUGUCAUUCGGCACGCAGGUGCAUGUCAACGAGCUGGGGUUUGCGGAUCUGUCGAAGGUUUAUGUUUUCAGGGGGACGAAGGAGAUCACCAAAGAGCAGGUCCUGGAUCAGUUGGGGCUGGCAGUGGGGGCGCAUAGGGGAGCGGGGUAUCCGAAGGGAGUACAGAAUGGAGUAGUCCCUGGGACCAUUAGUAGGUUUCUGCUGCCGGCAUCAGAAUGCGAAUACACCCUCAAUUUUUUAUUGGAUGAGUUGCAGAUAGAUCAGUGGCCACUGGAACCUGGCAACCGGCAAUUGCGGUGCACGGGUGUUGCUUUGAGUGUAGCAGCUGGUCUUCUUGGAGCAUGCUUGCCGGGUACUGGGGCCCGGAUUAUAGCUUUAGUGGGUGGUCCAUGUACAGAAGGCCCAGGAAUGAUUGUGUCAAAAGAUUUGUCAGAGCCAGUACGGUCCCAUAAAGACCUUGAUAAGGAUGGCGCACCUCAUUUUAACAAAGCUCUCAAAUUUUAUGAAAAUCUUGCCAAGCAGCUGGUUAGCGAGGGCCACGUCUUAGACGUUUUUGCAUCUGCACUUGAUCAGGUUGGGGUUGCAGAGAUGAAAGUUGCUGUUGAAAGGACAGGUGGGCUUGUUGUCCUUGCUGAAAGUUUUGGUCAUUCUGUGUUUAAAGACUCUUUCAAGCGGAUAUUCAAAGAUGGUGAACAGUCUCUUGGGCUUUCCUUCAAUGGCACACUUGAGAUAAUCUGUUCCAAGGAUAUCAAGAUUCAGGGAAUAAUUGGACCAUGCACAUCUUUGGAGAAGAAAGGACCUUCUUGCUCCGAUACAGUAAUAGGGCAGGGAAAUACAACAUCAUGGAAGAUGUGUGGCCUUGACAAGAGUACUUGUUUGACGGUCUUCUUUGACAUUUCACCCAGCGAACGGUCAACCCCACCAGGGACUGCAAAUCAACAACUGUACUUACAGUUUGUAACAAAUUAUCAGAAUCCUGAAGGCCAAAUGAGGAUCCGGGUUACAACUGUUGCAAGAAGAUGGGCAGAGACUUCAGCCAACUCAGAGGAAUUAGUAGAAGGAUUUGAUCAGGAAACUGCUGCUGUUGUAAUGGCAAGAUUAACCUCACUGAAAAUGGAGAUGGAGGAAGAGUUUGAUGCAACAAGAUGGUUGGAUCGAUCCCUCAUUCGUCUCUGUUCCAGAUUCGGUGAUUAUCGAAAAGAUAAUCCAUCUACGUUUACAUUAAACCCAAGUUUCUCAUUAUUCCCGCAAUUUAUGUUCAAUCUAAGGCGUUCACAAUUCGUACAGGUUUUUAACAACAGUCCUGAUGAGACGGCUUAUUUCCGCAUGCUAUUAAACCGAGAGAACAUCACCAAUUCUCUUGUCAUGAUUCAGCCUUCACUCAUUUCAUAUUCUUUUAAUUCGCCUCCUUCGCCGGCAUUGCUAGAUGUAGCUUCUAUUGCAGCAGACCGCAUACUAUUGCUAGAUGCAUAUUUUAGCAUAGUUAUUUUUCAUGGAACGACAAUUGCUCAGUGGCGCAACAUGGGUUACCAGAAUCAGUCCAUACAUCAAGCCUUUGCACAGCUAUUGCAAGCUCCUCAUGAAGAUGCUCAGAUUAUCAUCAAUGAUCGAUUCCCUGUCCCCAGACUGGUUGUGUGCGAUCAGCAUGGCUCCCAGGCAAGAUUUCUGUUGGCAAAACUAAACCCAUCCGCUACAUAUAACUCAGCCCACGAGAUAGCUGCUGGCUCAGAUGUGAUCUUUACAGACGAUGUGAGCCUGCAAGUGUUCUUUGAGCAUCUCCAAAGGCUAGCGGUGCAGUCCUGAGACCGUAGACUGAGUUCAGUACUUUCCCAGUUACCAAUUUCUCGGUGGGUGUUCCUAGUUAGGCAAACCCCCCGAGCUUCACUGAAGUUAUGAUGCGUAAAGCUCCCAAGUCAAGCUCUAUGGCGGGACCCACCGUGGAUAGGCUAUGCAAGCUCUAUGGCGGGACCCACCGUGGAUAGGCUAUGGUGCGGAAGUGACAGACAGAUCAUGAACCUUUUUGCCCAUUGAAAGCUGAUGAGUUUUUAAAUUGCCCGUUUGAAGUCCAAUUGGACGGUUAGGAUCUAACCUGUGGUGUCCUUUUUUUUUGGGCAUGUCUAUUCCUUCAUGAAAGGUACAUGAUGAGUGAUAUGUUUCUAUAUUUUGGAGAUUUGGGCACGUAAUGUAUUUUCUCACUGAACAUUUUAUGAGAAACCAGAUACCUUGCAAAAACUGAAGAUGGUCGGCCCGUACCUAAAUUUAAUUUAGAUAUCAUGUAACGUCCACAGGCCAUUGGGACCAAAUAUAUUAUUGGGAGGAGAUUUUGAAUUUGAAAAUGAAAGAGAGUGCUACCGUGGGUGUUUAUUGA